rnacentral:rRNA from 1 species
GAUCAUGGCUCAGAUGAACGCUAGCGGGAGGCCUAACACAUGCAAGCCGAGCGGUAUUUCUUCUUCGGAAGAGAGAGAGCGGCGUACGGGUGCGGAACACGUGUGCAACCUGCCUUUAUCUGGGGGAUAGCCUUUCGAAAGGAAGAUUAAUACCCCAUAAUAUAUUUGAUGGCAUCAUUAGAUAUUGAAAACUCCGGUGGAUAGAGAUGGGCACGCGCAAGAUUAGAUAGUUGGUGGGGUAACGGCCCACCAAGUCGAUGAUCUUUAGGGGCCUGAGAGGGUGAUCCCCCACACUGGUACUGAGACACGGACCAGACUCCUACGGGAGGCAGCAGUGAGGAAUAUUGGACAAUGGGUGAGAGCCUGAUCCAGCCAUCCCGCGUGAAGGAAUAAGGUCCUAUGGAUUGUAAACUUCUUUUCUACAGGGAUAAACCUAUUUACGUGUAAAUAGCUGAAGGUACUGUAGGAAUAAGCACCGGCUAACUCCGUG